rnacentral:rRNA from 1 species
UGGGGGAAUAUUGCACAAUGGGCGAAAGCCUGAUGCAGCGACGCCGCGUGCGGGAUGAAGGCCUUCGGGUUGUAAACCGCUUUUAAUUGGGAGCAAGCGAGAGUGAGUGUACCUUUUGAAUAAGCACCGGCUAACUACGUGCCAGCAGCCGCGGUAAUACGUAGGGUGCGAGCGUUAUCCGGAAUUAUUGGGCGUAAAGAGCUCGUAGGCGGUUUGUCACGCCUGGUGUGAAAGUCCAUCGCUUAACGGUGGAUCUGCGCCGGGUACGGGCAGGCUAGAGUGCAGUAGGGGGAGAUUGGAAUUCCCGGUGUAACGGUGGAAUGUGUAGAUAUCGGGAAGAACACCAAUGGCGAAGGCAGAUCUCUGGGCUGUUACUGACGCUGAGGAGCGAAAGCAUGGGGAGCGAACAGGAUUAGAUACCCUGGUAGUCCAUGCCGUAAAACGGUGGAUGCUGGAUGUGGGACCCUUCCACGGGUUCCGUGUCGGAGCUAACGCGUUAAGCAUCCCGCCUGGGGGAGUACGGCCGCAAGGCUAAAAC